AGUUUCAGAUAUAGGUUGGAUCCCCCAUGAUUUUAUUACGUCGGCAAUGCAACGUCGCUGGGAGAAUCUUUGAACUAAUUGGAAAAUUUAAAGACGAAGAAAGAAGAGACGAUGAAAUUGUAACCAGGUCCUGCAGACGGAGAGGGCGAAGAGGAGUAGAUGGAACGCAAGCUUCAACACCAGUACGGUACAAAUUGUAGUACUGGUGAACGGUAUUGUGAAUUUACUACUAGCACGUUAAGGCUUUAGGGGGGAGUUCUCGAGCGUGGGCCAACUUUUUGUUGGUAAGACUAGCUGCACUUCGUAUGUUGUAUCAUUUUUGUCACUCGCGCGUCCCUUUACGCUCCGUAUUUUUGUUGACUUUUCCACGAAGAGGCUUCCCAUAAAAAAGUAAACAUUGCGCAAAGUUGCUGGGUUUAGGGUUAUUCUUUUAAGUAGGGCAUAGCUCCAAACCAAAACACAUUUUCUUACAGGUGGCAAAACAUUAGGAUGUAGAAUUUCUCUCUUCUUCCUCUCUACAGGUUCUCUCAUUUCUCUAUAUAGUUAUAUUAGAAUUGUUGCAGGCAGAAUGUCAGUAGUGGUUAACCCGGCAGCGUUGCAUAAACAUACAUUUCCACUGCUAGCUCGUCGGUACCUUGUCGUGGUGCAGUGGCUUUAACACUAAAGCCGACGAUUUUAAUAUAAUAUAUAUUAACGUUAUAGGAAAUUCUAUGUUGUGGGAUCCUAAACAAAGCGUUAGAGGUGGGACAGCACAAAGACAUCUCGUUUUUAAAUGCUUACAAUAUAAUGCUCCCGGCGCCGUGGCAUAGUGGUUAUUAGCGCGCCUGCCUGUAACCCCAGAGGUAAUGGGUUCAGGGCUCGACGCUGCUACCAUUGUGGGCGUAUGUGUCCUUAAGAAAGAGACUUAACGACAAAAGCUCCAACCCAGUCGUCACUAAUGGGUUGUCCAAAUUAUCAGCCAUACA